AAUUCGAGCUUAUAUAAGUGAUUAACUUACUUUACAUAUCAAGAUUACUAGCUAAUUCAAUGUUGCAAACCAACCACUUAUAUUCACCAUUUAAUUUUUGUUCAUUUCUAAUGUUGGACUUGGAUUUCCAACGCUUUUUCCUCCCAUGGUAACCCCAAACAAGGAUUUUAUCUCCUCCAUAUUUGUAUUCUGCUUAAUUUCCUCCUUCAAUUCAGCCUUAUCCUUCUUUGUCGUCUCCUGUAUAACACUAAUAUGCUCCUCUAAUUCAGCCAAUUUAGCGGAAUUAGCUGAAUCUUGAGUAACUA
rnacentral:misc_RNA from 1 species